CCUACGGGUGGCAGCAGUGGGGAAUAUUGCACAAUGGGGGAAACCCUGAUGCAGCGACGCCGCGUGAGCGAUGACGUAUCUCGGGAUUUAAAGCUCUAUCAGCAGGGAAGAAAAUGACGGUACCUGACGAAUAAGCCCCGGCUAACUACGUGCCAGCAGCCGCGGUAAUACGUAGGGGGCAAGCGUUAUACGGAUUUACUGGGUGUAAAGGGAGCGCAGGCGGCGUGGUAAGUGUGAUGUGAAAGCCCGGGGCGCAACCCCGGGACUGCAGUGGAAACUGGGGUGCUGGAGUGUCGGAGAGGCAGGUGGAAUUCCUGGUGUAGCGGUGAAAUGCGUAGAUAUUAGGAGGAACACCAGUGGCGAAGGCGGCUUACUGGACGACAACUGACGCUGAGGCUCGAAAGCGUGGGGAGCAAACAGGAUUAGAUACCCUUGUAGUC
rnacentral:rRNA from 1 species